GGGACAACAUUUGGAAACAGAUGCUAAUACCGCAUAACAGCGUUGUUCGCAUGAACAACGCUUAAAAGAUGGCUUCUCGCUAUCACUUCUGGAUGGACCUGCGGUGCAUUAGCUUGUUGGUGGGGUAACGGCCUACCAAGGCGAUGAUGCAUAGCCGAGUUGAGAGACUGAUCGGCCACAAUGGGACUGAGACACGGCCCAUACUCCUACGGGAGGCAGCAGUAGGGAAUCUUCCACAAUGGGCGCAAGCCUGAUGGAGCAACACCGCGUGAGUGAAGAAGGGUUUCGGCUCGUAAAGCUCUGUUGUUAAAGAAGAACACGUAUGAGAGUAACUGUUCAUACGUUGACGGUAUUUAACCAGAAAGUCACGGCUAACUACGUGCCAGCAGCCGCGGGAAUACGUAGGUGGCAAGCGUUAUCCGGAGUUAUUGGGCGUAAAGGAGAGUGCAGGCGGUUUUCUAAGUCUGACGAGAAAGCCUUUCGGCUUAACCGGACAAGUGCAUCGGAAACUGGAUAACUUGAGU
rnacentral:rRNA from 1 species